AGAGUUUGAUUCUGGCUCAGAACAAACGCUGGCGGCGUGCCUAAUACAUGCAAGUCGAACGGGGAAAGUUCUUCGGAAUGAGUACUAGUGGCGCACGGGUGAGGAACACGUAGAUAAUCUGCCCUUAGGCGGGGAAUAACUGGUCGAAAGAUCAGCUAAUACCGCAUAAGACCACACUCUCUGCGGAGAGAGAGGUUAAAGGCUUCGGCCACCUAAGGAUGAGUCUGCGUCCGAUUAGCUUGUUGGUGAGGUAAAAGCUCACCAAGGCUCCGAUCGGUAACUGGUCUGAGAGGAUGACCAGUCACACUGGGACUGAGACACGGCCCAGACUCCUACGGGAGGCAGCAGUAGGGAAUAUUGCACAAUGGAGGAAACUCUGAUGCAGCGACGCCGCGUGAGUGAUGAAGGCCCUCGGGUUGUAAAGCUCUGUUCUUAGGGAAUAAAAAAAUGAAGGUACCUAAGAAGAAAGGACCGGCUAACUUCGUGCCAGCAGCCGCGGUAAGACGAGGGGUCCAAGCGUUGUUCGGAAUCAUUGGGCGUAAAGCGGGUGUAGGCGGCCUUGCAAGUCAGAAGUGAAAGCCCUGGGCUCAACCCAGGAAGUGCUUUUGAAACUGCAAGGCUUGAGUGUGGGAGAGGAUAGUGGAAUUCCAGGUGUAGUGGUGAAAUACGUAGAGAUCUGGAGGAACACCGGUGGCGAAGGCGGCUAUCUGGCCCAACACUGACGCUCAGACCCGAAAGCGUGGGGAUCAAACAGGAUUAGAUACCCUGGUAGUCCACGCCGUAAACGAUGGAUACU
rnacentral:rRNA from 1 species